rnacentral:lncRNA from 1 species
CAGAAGACUGUGUUCUCGACAUGGGUGAGAUGCUGGGAGCUUGGCCACUGCCCAGGCAGCACAGGGAAGCUCCGGAACCUGGGAGACCCCAGCAAUGGGCUUUAUUAUGAUCCCUUACUCCUCACUUAUUCAGAGCAGUACUGAUUCUACCAAGUGUGUUUAAACUGUACACCAGAUCUGCCUAAAAACUCCCUGAGCCAAAUACCUAAGGGAAAUCCUUACAAGCUCACAAGAGACAGGGAUAGCUCAGCCUGCCAAUACUUAAUGGUUUUCUGCCCUGGUGGGAAGAGAAACAUACAAAAAACCUUUUCUCUUCCUGUGGGUAUGACAUUAUUCUAUAUCUCCCCGCUCUUUGGAUGGGAAGGCUGGAAAUUGAAUUACUGUACUUUGGGGGAAGGAGGAUUUUGCUUGUGCAGCCACAUUCUCAACAAAGUCUCAGCACAGUGUAAAUGAUUCUCAGCAAAUGAGGUUGCUGCAACGUCCACAGAGACCCAAAGGAUGCUGUUUGUGUCUCUCAGCACCUGGCUGAGCCCCGAUGGUGUGCACGGCAAAGGGCUUGGUGAGUGCAAAAGACAAGGCCCUAACGAGCCUAAAACUCUUCAUAGCAUAGCAUCAAAUGCCAGAUGUGGAUUUCCAGAGAAAUAAAAGUAUAUUCCGGGACAUAACGGCACACAAAGGAUGGUUAUUGCAGCAAAACAUUGGAAACAACGGAACGCCCAUCCACAGGAAGACCAAGCCGUCUUCUCGUCUUCUGGCUGUGUCCUCACGUGGUCUUCUCUCUGCACAUGCGCAUCCCUGGUCUUUGUAUGCGGCCAAAUUUCCUCAGGACGCCAGUCAGAUUGGAUCUGGGCCCACCCUAAGGCCUCAUUUUAACUUCACCCUUUAAAGGCCCUGUCACCAAGCACAGCCACAUUCUGAGGUACUCGGGGUUAGGACUUCAACAUAGGAAUUUGCAGGGGACACAAUUAAUCCAGGCUGUGUGUGUAUGUGUAUGUGUGUGUGGAUGUGUAUGUGUGCAUAGAUGGGUAUGUGUGUGCAUGUGCAUGUGUGUGCUCACAUAUGUAUGUAUAUAUGUAAGUAUAUGGGUGUGUAUAUAUGUGUGUGUGUUGUGCGUGUUUGUAUAUGUAUAUAUGUGUGUGGGGGGGUAUGUAUGUGUGUAUAUGUGCGUAUGUAUGUUUGUGUAUGUGCAUGUGCAUGUGUGUAUGUAUGUAAAAUAUGUGUAUGUAUGUGUGCAUAUUUGUGUGCGUGGUGUAUAUAUGUGGUUAGAUAUGUAUGUGUGUAUGUGUG